UUGAAGUCUCCCCUAAAGAAGUCUGGUGGCACAUCCUUUCAGAGUUGAAAAAUGUAACUUAUGAGGAUAGAUUUUAAAAGAUAAGAUUUUUCUAUUUCAUUCUUGGUGGCAGGGGUGGGUAAAAAAGUCUUUAUUUCACCAGCAGAUAAAUUCAGGUCAUCUAAGAUUUAGUAACCGAAUGGAUUAUGAGAAAAAUGUUUGCCUUCAGGUGUUUGUAAAAUUGUAAAACUUAAAAAUAAGGGAGGGGAUUGUGGACAUUUUUGUUAUUCAUUAAUAUGUACUUUCUAAUAUACUUUCGUGAGAAUUUAUGUAACUUG
rnacentral:lncRNA from 1 species